ensembl:lncRNA
CAAACUUGAGGACGAAGAUCAGAAUGGCGGGGCGACGAGUUUCUGAGCUGCUUAGAGAGGCUGCUGAUAGGCUUGAACAAAUGGAGCAUUCAAAUUCAUCUGGCUCAUCCAUCACUCCAUCAACCACUCCAAUAACCACUCCAUCUGCUACUCCAUCCACUUCAUCUGGCUCUACCCGGGGUGCAUUAGGCACACACCCUGUUGAUGCUGAGGUUACAAGGUUAUUUGCAGCAUACAAUAGCCAAAGCAGGACAAGGCGGCCUGCAAGAAACCCCCGUUCAGUUCACACAUACACACACACAUUUUGCUGCCUUGGGCGUAAAGACACAAGUACUGUCCCAAGUAGGGUUGGCAAAGACCAACUCCUAAGAUCGGGGUUGGGGGACAGGCGCCUAGUCUUUCAAGGUAACCACGACAGUUCAUCAGAGUUCAUGGAGUUCAUUCUUGCAUCUUACCCAAAGCUGAGAGAUGCAGGUGGCUUUGAAUUACUUAAGAUAUCCGGAACUACUCGUAAUCGUCAUCUGUCCUUAAUUCCAUGCCCUAAUCAGGGUUACACUGUUACAUAUCUGAAAGAUCCUGUUCUCCUAGUAAACCACUCUAUUAUUUACAUUCGCCCGCUGCAAAGAAAUCUGAAUAUGGAUAAUGCGUUGAAUGGUGGACCAGUUGGCACUGAACCUGGACCAUUGACGGCAUGUCUGAUUUGUGGAGAAAAAUUUCCCUUUUCACAGAUCAGAUCACAUAGUGAGGCUUGUUCAUCUUCAAGACAGUCACAGGGUGAAAGUCAAAUGGAAAAUGAGGGUGCAGCUGUACCUACAACCAGUAGGACAUGUGUCUCAACCUCACAGGAUCCAGAUUUGGACAGUCAGGAAACAGAUAAUACACCUGCUGCUUAUGUCUCGGAGGAUUUAGAUUUCAUUGUUAAGGCUUGGGUUACAGAACCAAAUCCGGAGAAGGCAGUUCAACUGUAUGUUGAAUCAGCACUUGAGGAAAAAAAAAACAAUGACAGUUUGAACUUCAACCUGAAUCUAAGAGAUUCUUUGGAAGACAGAAGCAGGGCCAUCAUUCAUUUCUAUAAAAAGCCAAAGGUGGAGUGGGCUAGUCCACUGCAGUGUAGACUGAUUGGGGAUUGUGCAAUUGGAGAUGGUGUGAACAGGCAUAUCCUCUCAACAGUGAUGGACAACCUUCAAAAUGGCUUUCUUCUUGAUGAAGAUAAAGGAGUGAAAACUUUGCUCUUUGAGGGAGAGCGGGACCAUCUUGUUCCUUCCACCUCUAAGGCGCUUUUGGAAAGUGAUUUUUUUAUUGUGGUUGGUCGCAUUAUUGGACACUGUUUUUUGAACCAAGGCCCACAUUUUGCUGGACUGAGCCCUGCAAUUAUGCACGUGCUAUUCGGGGGAGAACCAGAGACCGCAACAAUAACAGAAUUGGACUGUGUGGACCAGGAUGUCCGUGAAGUUUUACAGUUGUUGGAAGAAAACAGCAACUUCUCAGAGGAACAAAAGGCAAAAAUUCUCUCGGUGACCCUCCCUUGGGAUCUCCCCGGUGUUACAGCAGAAAACAGAUGGUGGCUGACGGAGAAAAUUCUUCUUCACUCUGUACUGGGAAGAACAACUCAGCAGGUUAAACAAAUGAGGAGGGGUUUGAAAGACACCGGGGUCUGGGAUUUUUUUAGCUCCAGGCCAGACGCCAUCCCAAUCUUGUUCCCCAGGACCAGUGAUGUGAUGUUAACACCACAGAUGAUUCUGGACAAGAUUGUCUGGCCAAGGGAUGAGGAUGUUGAUGAGGAUAUACUCAGCUUGGAGGAACAACAAAAAGCACUACAUUUUCUCCGAAGAUUCAUAGAGAAUGGAUCUGGAGAGCGUCUGAAGUCACUUCUCACAUUCUGGACUGGGUGGGACGUGCUGUCAUCAGACCUGGAAGUUGAAUUUGUUGACUGUGCUUUGCCACAGGCAUCUACCUGUUUUUUCACUCUAAAACUAUCUAAAAAUGUAGCAACAUAUGAGGAAUUUGAGCGUGACCUGAUGGCAAGCAUCACUUCAUGGUACUCUGGUUUUGGCAAGAUUUAAACACUGCAUACUGAAACAGUUUUGAGAGUUUACAGAUAUUUCAUCUUGAGCCAGUAGUUCUGAUGGCAGAUUCAGAUUCAAAGUUGUUAGCUAUUUGUUUCAAUAAAAAUGAUUAUACAGUUAGCA